ensembl:lncRNA
GGAGGAGGUGGUGGUGGUGGUAGAUGGGGGAGAAGGAGGAAGAGUGUGGAGGAGGAAGUGGUGGUGGUGGUAGAUGGGGGAGCAGGAGAACGAGUGUGGAGGAGGAGGUGGUGGUGGUAGAUGGGGAGCAGGAGGAAUAGUGUGGAGGAGGAAGUGGUGGUGGUGGUAGAUGGGGGAGCAGGAGAACGAGUGUGGAGGAGGAGGUGGUGGUGGUAGAUGGGGGAGCAGGAGGAAUAGUGUGGAGGAGGAAGUGGUGGUGGUGGUAGAUGGGGAGCAGGAGAACGAGUGUGGAGGAGGAGGUGGUGGUGGUAGAUGGGGGAGCAGGAGGAAUAGUGUGGAGGAGGAAGUGGUGGUAGAUGGGGAGCAGGAGGAAGAGUGUGGAGGUG